rnacentral:snoRNA from 1 species
CUGUGAAUAUUUCUUGCUUUCCUGAUUUUGUGAUAAUGAGGACAGGCUAAACAUUUGCUAUAUUAGGACCAUGCAUGUGUCCCCAGACCUACUUUUUCCCCUAGCUCUGGUGGUUAAAAUGCUGGUGAUAUAC